rnacentral:rRNA from 1 species
GAUGAACGCUGGCGGCGUGCCUAAUACAUGCAAGUCGAGCGAACAGAUGAGGAGCUUGCUCCUCUGACGUUAGCGGCGGACGGGUGAGUAAAACGUGGAUAACCUACCUAUAAGACUGGGAUAACUUCGGGAAACCGGAGCUAAUACCGGAUAAUAUAUUGAACCGCAUGGUUCAAUAGUGAAAGACGGUUUUGCUGUCACUUAUAGAUGGAUCCGCGCCGCAUUAGCUAGUUGGUAAGGUAACGGCUUACCAAGGCAACGAUGCGUAGCCGACCUGAGAGGGUGAUCGGCCACACUGGAACUGAGACACGGUCCAGACUCCUACGGGAGGCAGCAGUAGGGAAUCUUCCGCAAUGGGCGAAAGCCUGACGGAGCAACGCCGCGUGAGUGAUGAAGGUCUUCGGAUCGUAAAACUCUGUUAUUAGGGAAGAACAAAUGUGUAAGUAACUAUGCACGUCUUGACGGUACCUAAUCAGAAAGCCACGGCUAACUACGU